GGGGGUGACUGGUUUCGACAAAGAAUUUCCUCCGCUGUGCGCAUGGCGGUGAAUGCUCAAGACCACCUAAAAUCUCGAGCACCAAACGUGUGAAAAACGUUUUUGAGCGCUCGGUAAGCGCAAUCGCUUCGGCGUUUGCACCCCGUUUCGCUCCUGCUUUCGCGUAAGCCAAAGCAGCGCCAAACUUUCGACGCCUGAUAGAAAGUCCUUGGUGUCAUAACAUCCGGCUCUGAAUGGACAACUGCUCACUGUCCAUUUGAAUUCACGAGCUCGGCGCGUGUCAUUUUGUCCGCUUCAUACUCACGCGCUCAAACCUUGAAACGGAUUACGCCUUGUAGAAACGCUUCGGAGACCCUCUUUGGACGGGGUUUCAAAACCCCCACCUCCACCA
rnacentral:tmRNA from 1 species